rnacentral:rRNA from 1 species
GGUUAAGUGACUAAGCGUACACGGUGGAUGCCUAGGCAGUCAGAGGCGAUGAAGGGCGUGCUAAUCUGCGAAAAGCGUCGGUAAGGUGAUAUGAACCGUUAUAACCGGCGAUACCCGAAUGGGGAAACCCAGUGUGUUUCGACACACUAUCAUGUCAUGAAUACAUAGUGGCAUGAGGCGAACCGGGGGAACUGAAACAUCUAAGUACCCCGAGGAAAAGAAAUCAACCGAGAUUCCCCCAGUAGCGGCGAGCGAACGGGGAGGAGCCCAGAACCUGAAUCGGCUUGUGUGUUAGUGGAAGCGUCUGGAAAGUCGCGCAGCAAAGGGUGAUAGCCCCGUACACUAAAAUGCACAGGUCGUGAGUUCGAUGAGUAGGGCGGGACACGUGACAUCCUGUCUGAAUAUGGGGGGACCAUCCUCCAAGGCUAAAUACUCCUGACUGACCGAUAGUGAACCAGUACCGUGAGGGAAAGGCGAAAAGAACCCCGGCGAGGGGAGUGAAAUAGAACCUGAAACCGUGUACGUACAAGCAGUGGGAGCACCUUCGUGGUGUGACUGCGUACCUUUUGUAUAAUGGGUCAGCGACUUAUAUUUUGUAGCAAGGUUAACCGUAUAGGGGAGCCGUAGGGAAACCGAGUCUUAACUGGGCGAAUAGUUGCAAGGUAUAGACCCGAAACCCGGUGAUCUAGCCAUGGGCAGGUUGAAGGUUGGGUAACACUAACUGGAGGACCGAACCGACUAAUGUUGAAAAAUUAGCGGAUGACUUGUGGCUGGGGGUGAAAGGCCAAUCAAACCGGGAGAUAGCUGGUUCUCCCCGAAAGCUAUUUAGGUAGCGCCUCGUGAACUCAUCUUCGGGGGUAGAGCACUGUUUCGGCUAGGGGGCCAUCCCGGCUUACCAAACCGAUGCAAACUCCGAAUACCGAAGAAUGUUAUCACGGGAGACACACGGCGGGUGCUAACGUCCGUCGUGAAGAGGGAAACAACCCAGACCGCCAGCUAAGGUCCCAAAGUCAUGGUUAAGUGGGAAACGAUGUGGGAAGGCA